rnacentral:tRNA from 1 species
ACUUGAAUAGCUUAUAUUUUAGAGCGCGACGCUGAAGAUGUCGAUGAGGUGGAUUUGUUACCUUUAAGUA